rnacentral:rRNA from 1 species
ACCCGCUGGAUUUAAGCAUAUCACUAAGCGGAGGAAAAGAAAUUAACUAAGAUUGCCUUAGUAACGGCGAGUGAAGUGGCAAAAGCCCAAACUGGAAAUCUUCACGCUUCGCGUGACGAAUUGUAAUCUAAAGAGUAGAAGCUCACCGGGUGAUGUCGCAGAAGUGCCUUAGAACGGGCCGCCAGAGAGGGUGACAGCCCCGUAUGUGGUGACAUUGCCUAACGAGCUCUGCUUGAAGAGUCGGGUAGUUUUGAAUUGCUGCCCUAAGUGGGAGAUAGACUUCUUCUAAGGCUAAAUAUAUGUGGGAAACCGAUAGCGAACAAGUACUGUGAAGGAAAGAUGAAAAGAACUUUGAAAAGAGAGUCAAAAGACUUGAAAUCGUUGAGAAGGAAGCGGUAGAAAAUUAUUCUCUGCGGUGGCAAAGUGUUCCACACGAGUAUUGCGGUCGUAUAGUACGUCAAAGGCUUGCGAUCGUACGUGCUUGUUGGAUUGCGGAGCCGACGCAGUGAGGCAAAAUGAGGUGUUAAAUCCACAAAAGCUUCUUGGAUCUGGGACUCUGCGGAGUUCAAUCCUGGUCUGCUGGUGGGCUUAAUGCCUGAGAAUGCUCUGUGCGAUUUUGCCAAAAUGGUUUUUACCGACCCGUCUUGAAACACGGACCAAGGAGUCUAACAUAUAUGCGAGUGUGCUGGUGGAGAAACCAACACGCAUAUUGAAAGUAAGAGAUGCCAAGCGCAAGCAGCAGCAUCAACCGAUGAGGUUCCUCUGGGGCCUAUUCGUGUAAGAGCAUAUCUGUUAGGACCCGAAAGAUGGUGAACUAUGCCUGAGUAGGGUGAAGCCAGGGGAAACUCUGGUGGAGGCUCGUAGCGGUUCUGACGUGCAAAUCGAUCGUCAAACUUGGGUAUAGGGGCGAAAGACUAAUCGAACCAUCUAGUAGCUGGUUCCCUCCGAAGUUUCCCUCAGGAUAGCUGGGACAAUAACGCAGUUUUAUUAGGUAAAGCGAAUGAUUAGAGGUAUCUGGGGUUUUACACCCUGGACCUAUUCUCAAACUUUAAAUUGGUAAGAACCUUUGCCUUUCUUAAUUGAGGUGAGGGGGUCAAUGCGUGUCCCUAGUGGGCCAUUUUUGGUAAGCAGAACUGGCGAUGAGGGUUGCUCCUAACGCUGAGUUAAGGUGCCUAAAUGCAUGCUCAUCAGAUACUACAAAGGGUGUUGGUUCAUUUAGACAGCAGGACGGUGGCCAUGGAAGUUGAAACCCGCUAAGGAGUGUGUAACAACUCACCUGCCGAAUGGACUAGCCCCGAAAAUUGAUGGCGCUAAAGCGUGCUACCGAUACUCGGCCAUUGCAGCGAGAGUGAGGCUGCAAUGUGUAGGAGGGCGUGAACGUUGUUGCGAAGCCUCUGGCGUGAGCCUUGGUUGAACAGCGUUUAGUGCAGAUCUUGGUGGUAGUAGCAAUUAUUCAAAUGAGAACUUUGAAGGCCGAAGUGGAGAAGGUUUCCGUGAGAACAGCAAUUGGUCACGGGUGACUCGAUCCUAAGACAUGGGGCAAUCCCUUGUUAAGUGCACCGUAUGGUGCGUAGUCGAAAGGGAAUGAGGUUAAUAUUCCUCAAGCUGGAUGUGGGUGUUGUAUGGCAACAUAAGUGAGCUCAGAGACGUCAGCAUGAGCCUCUGGAAGAGUUAUCUUUUCUUUUUAACAGGCUAGCGACCUUGAAAUUGGAUUAACCAGAGCUAAGGUGGCAUGCCUGGAAGAGCACCUUGCUUUUUGAGGUGUCAGGUGCGCUCAUGAUGACCCAUGAAAAUCUGAGUGAGAUAAUUUCACACCAGGUCGUACCCACAACCGCAUCAGGUCUCCAAGGUU